GGAGGAGGGACCCGGCGGCGCGGCGUGGGUCGGGAGCGGGCGCCUGGGACUACUUCUCGUUUGAAAGUUUUCAGAGGCCAAAAGUUUGAGCCGGGGCUGCGGAAGGAUCCGGCUCUGGCGGUUGCCGCGCUCGGCGACAACUGGCGACUGAAAUUUGCAUAGAAGAGAGUGGCCCAUUCGGUGUCCACCCGUCAGGCCACCCAGCAGCCAGGCACGCUCAUAAGCCCGCGUUACGGAUGGUGCGGCCGGGUGCACAGGCCCGAGGGAAGCACAGGCCUCGGCCUCCCAGCUCCCAACCCCUGCACCACCCACAGCCGGGAGUACCCCAUGGACAGCUGUGGCCGAGGAGAAGCCAGGGAUGAGGGGGAUGGGCCUCACCUCCCCACCAGCCUGGGAAGGGGGUAGGCCCCUGGCAAGUAGGAGGGAAGCUGAGGCUCAGAGACAUCAUGAGGAUGCCAGCUCAAGGCCCAGCCAGGCCUUGGUCCUCAGCUGCUGUCAUCCAGUAGGGUAAGUGGGACCCCCAGGAGGUGUUGGGGGACACUCCUCCCCUCCCCCACACUCACAGUCUGUUCACCGCCCAAGGCAGCAGGCUGGACUCGGUGCAGGGACCAUGGCUUGGCGUGGCCAGGUUGGAGUGGCCCCUGGGACUGAAAGCAGGGGGCGUGGGGGCUCUGAGGCGGGGCCGAGUGCGGGGACGUCCUGUGGCGGGUACCCUGCUGGGUCCUGGGUGGGGGCCAC
ensembl:lncRNA NALT1 NOTCH1 associated lncRNA in T cell acute lymphoblastic leukemia 1